rnacentral:rRNA from 1 species
ACUCAAAUGAAUUGACGGGGGCCCGCACAAGCGGUGGAGCAUGUGGUUCAAUUCGACGCAACGCGAAGAACCUUACCCAGGCUCGAAAUGUAGUGGACAAAUGUGGAAACACAUUCUCUCCCUUCGGGGAGUCGUUAUAUAGGUGCUGCAUGGCUGUCGUCAGCUCGUGUCGUGAGAUGUUGGGUUAAGUCCCGCAACGAGCGCAACCCUUGUCGUUAGUUACCAGCGGGUAAUGCCGGGGACUCUAUCGAGACUGCCUGUGAUAAACAGGAGGAAGGUGGGGAUGACGUCAAGUCCUCAUGGCCCUUACGUCUGGGGCUACACACGUGCUACAAUGGCCGGUACAGAGAGAAGCAAGACCGCGAGGUGGAGCCAAUCUUCAAAACCGGCCCCAGUUCGGAUUGGAGUCUGCAAUUCGACUCCAUGAAGUUGGAAUCGCUAGUAAUCGCGGAUCAGCACGCCGCGGUGAAUACGUUCCCGGGCCUUGUACACACCGCCCGU